CUACGGGUUGCAGCAGUGAGGAAUAUUGCACAAUGGGGGGAACCCUGAUGCAGCAACGCCGCGUGGAGGAUGACGCAUUUCGGUGUGUAAACUCCUUUUAUAUGUCAAGAAAAUGACGGUAGCAUAUGAAUAAGCACCGGCUAACUCCGUGCCAGCAGCCGCGGUAAUAGGAGGGUGCAAGCGUUACUCGGAAUCACUGGGCGUAAAGGACGCGUAGGCGGGUUGGAAAGUCAGGUGUGAAAUCCUACAGCUUAACUGUAGAACUGCACUUGAAACUUCUAAUCUAGAGUAUGGGAGGGGGAGAUGGAAUUAGUGGUGUAGGGGUAAAAUCCGUAGAUAUCACUAGGAAUACCUAAAGCGAAGGCGAUCUCCUGGAACAUUACUGACGCUAAGGCGUGAAAGCGUGGGGAGCAAACAGGAUUAGACCCCUGUAGUC
rnacentral:rRNA from 1 species